rnacentral:rRNA from 1 species
GACGAACGCUGGCGGCGUGCCUAAUACAUGCAAGUUGAGCGAUGAAGCUUGGUGCUUGCACCAAUUUGCAGAGCAGCGAACGGGUGAGUAACGCGUGGGGAAUCUGCCUUUGAGCGGGGGACAACAUUUGGAAACGAAUGCUAAUACCGCAUAACAACUUUAAACAUAAGUUUUAAGUUUGAAAGAUGCAAUUGCAUCACUCAAAGAUGAUCCCGCGUUGUAUUAGCUAGUUGGUGAGGUAAAGGCUCACCAAGGCGAUGAUACAUAGCCGACCUGAGAGGGUGAUCGGCCACAUCGGGACUGAGACACGGCCCAAACUCCUACGGGAGGCAGCAGUAGGGAAUCUUCGGCAAUGGACGAAAGUCUGACCGAGCAACGCCGCGUGAGUGAAGAAGGUUUUCGGAUCGUAAAACUCUGUUGGUAGAGAAGAACGUUGGUGAGAGUGGAAAGCUCAUCAAGUGACGGUAACUACCCAGAAAGGGACGGCUAACUACGUG